rnacentral:rRNA from 1 species
UGGGGAAUCUUGGACAAUGGGCGCAAGCCUGAUCCAGCCAUGCCGCGUGAGCGAUGAAGGCCUUAGGGUUGUAAAGCUCUUUCACCGGUGAAGAUAAUGACGGUAGCCGGAGAAGAAGCCCCGGCUAACUCCGUGCCAGCAGCCGCGGUAAUACGGAGGGGGUUAGCGUUGUUCGGAAUUACUGGGCGUAAAGCGCACGUAGGCGGACCAGAAAGUUGGGGGUGAAAUCCCGGGGGCUCAACCCCGGAACUGCCUCCAAAACUAUUGGUCUAGAGUUCGAGAGAGGUGAGUGGAAUUCCAAGUGUAGAGGUGAAAUUCGUAGAUAUUUGGAGGAACACCAGUGGCGAAGGCGGCUCACUGGCUCGAUACUGACGCUGAGGUGCGAAAGUGUGGGGAGCAAACAGGAUUAGAUACCCUGGUAGUCCACGCCGUAAAACGAUGAGUGCUAGUCGUCGGCAGGCAUGCCUGUCGGUGACGCAGCUAACGCAUUAAGCACU